GACGAACGCUGGCGGCGUGCUUAACACAUGCAAGUCGAACGAAGUGGAGAACGGGUGAGUAACGCGUAAUCAACCUGCUCUCCAGAGGGGGACAACAGUUGGACACGACUGCUAAUACCGCAUACUGAAGGUGGGGCUUGCGUCUGAUUAGCUGGUUGGAGGGGAAACGGCCCACCAAGGCGAUGAUCAGUAGCCCGUCUGAGAAGAGUAACGGCCACAUUGGGACUGAGACACGGCCCAGACUCCUACGGGAGGCAGCAGUGGGGAAUCUUCCGGAAUGGGCGGAAGUCUGACGGAGCAACGCCGGGGGGGUGAUGACGGCCUUCGGGUUGUAAAGAUCUGUUAAUCGGGACGCGGUACCGGAAUAGAAAGCCACGGCUAACUACGUGCCAGCAGCCGCGGUAAUUC
rnacentral:rRNA from 1 species